GGUGGCACCAGUAGGUGUCACUCUCCAUAGGCUGAGCCUCUAUAAAAGGGGAAGCUAGUAGGGUGGUAGCCAGGAGUUCACUUCCUGUGUCUGGGACCAGGGGUGUGGUCGAUCCAUACUGUUGGCUGGCUGGGGGCCGCAUUAACAGUAUUCCAGUGGUAGCGUUACCUGGGCGUGUGGUUGUUCGACGCCGCAGGUAGGCUUUUACAUUUACUGUUUGGGUGUCACCUGGGCGUGUUGUUUGAUGCCGCAGGUAGGCUUUUAUAUAUGCUGUUUUAAGUGAUGCAGGUAAGCAGUGUUUUUAAUGUGGUUAGAUUGGAUUAAAGUGUUUUAAUGAGUAUUUGGUAAUUUUGUAUUUUUGUUUUGACAGGGUUGUCACUGCUUCCUGCUGUCCUUUAGAGUUUGAUUUUCUUUUCUGUUAGUCUGCCUGGUUUGGAUUGUUUUUCUUUUUGAGUACUUGUGAGGGUGGACUAACAACUUUGCAUUUAUUUUGUUUUCUUUUCACUUCCUGUAUGCUUAUAUUCCUGCUACAUUUUAUAUAUUGGCACCUGUAUUUUAUUUAUAUACAAUAAAGCUUGGUAAAAUUAA